rnacentral:rRNA from 1 species
CCAGCACCCGCGGUAAUUCCAGCUCCAAUAGCGUAUAUUAAAGUUGUUGCUGUUAAAAAGCUCGUAGUUGGUUUUCUGGCGGGAUGAACACGCCCUCAGCUGAGUGUGCAUGAGCGUCUCACCAUCCUUCUGUUAACCCUUAAGGUUUUAACGACCUUCUGGGGGCUCAGAUAUUUUACCUUGAGAAAAUUAGAGUGUUUCAGGCAGGCUAGCGCCGGGAUACAUUAGCAUGGAACAAUGGAAUAGGACUUUUUCCUCUUCUGUUGGUCUGAGGGGUUCGAGUAAUGAUUAAUAGGGAUAGUUGGGGGCAUUAGUACUUUGCUGUCAGAGGUGAAAUUCUCGGAUUUGCAAAAGACUAACUUAUGCGAAAGCAUUUGCCAAGGAUGUUUUCAUCGAUCAAGAACGAAAGU